UACUGAAAUCUAUUCUCUAUUUGAAAUAUAUGUAACUUUAUAAAAUUUUAAAAAUCCAUAAAAAUAUUUCUUUUCAAAAGUGAUUAUAGAAAUGCAUGAAAAACAGCACAAUUAGAAACUAUGCCACUAUUCAGAAAUGUGAUUUCUACAUUUUAAACCUUCCAAGAUAAACAGCCUGAUCCACUCUGCCAUUUAUAAUUUUAAUUCCUUUAUUCAUCUUCCCUUCCACUGAGGUAUUCCAUGUACAACGUUACAUAACAGAAGGGUAAAACGCAAGGAUCCCCUUCAUCCCUGUGACAACAUAUUUAUUCUCACAGUUACCUCCUUAGGGUUUCUAAUAUGCCAAACCAUCAUUACAGGAUAUCAUUAGCUACCAUCUAAAUUCCUAUCACCACCUACUCCCUUUACCCCCUUUUAUUCUUAAUUCCCCUCUUGUGACAUUUAUAUAUAAUCUUAAAUCAUUUUUGAAACUUCAACCUUAGAUAAUAUCUCCAUGGAUUCCAUGUUACCUGAAGUGAAGACAACUGUUUCAAAAGGAGGAAAUGACUGAGAUUGAGCUUUGUAUGCAGUAUUAUGUACAAAAAGCACUGCCUGAGCACUCUGGAGAGACUGCUGUAUAAUUUUGCCAAGGAAAAUCUGAUGCCUUCGGGAUUUUCUUUAUACUUUCUGUUCUAAAAUUUCACAAAUAAAGGUAUUAUCUAGAUGUGGCUCUUUUAAUCUUCUGUAUCCUACAU
rnacentral:lncRNA from 1 species